GGGCGGGUGGCGGAACGGCAGACGCGCACGGUUCAGGUCCGUGUGUCCGAAAGGACGUGAGGGUUCAAAUCCCUCCUCGCCCACCA
rnacentral:tRNA from 4 species